rnacentral:rRNA from 1 species
GACGAACGCUGGCGGCGUGCUUAACACAUGCAAGUCGAACGGUAAGGCCCUUCGGGGUACACGAGUGGCGAACGGGUGAGUAACACGUGGGUGAUCUGCCCUGCACUUCGGGAUAAGCCUGGGAACCUGGGUCUAAUACCGGAUAGGACCACUGCCUGCAUGGGUGGUGGUGGAAAGCUUUUGCGGUGUGGGAUGGGCCCGCGGCCUAUCAGCUUGUUGGUGGGGUGAUGGCCUACCAAGGCGACGACGGGUAGCCGGCCUGAGAGGGUGACCGGCCACACUGGGACUGAGAUACGGCCCAGACUCCUACGGGAGGCAGCAGUGGGGAGUAUUGCACAAUGGGCGCAAGCCUGAUGCAGCGACGCCGCGUGAGGGAUGACGGCCUUCGGGUUGUAAACCUCUUUCAGCACCGACGAAGCGCAAGUGACGGUAGGUGCAGAAGAAGGACCGGCCAACUACGUGCCAGCAGCCGCCGUAA